UAGAGCCCGGGACGCAGCAGUAGGGAAUAUUGCUCAAUGGGGGAAACCCUGAAGCAGCAACGCCGCGUGGAGGAUGAAGGUUUUCGGAUUGUAAACUCCUUUUGUUAGAGAAGAUAAUGACGGUAUCUAACGAAUAAGCACCGGCUAACUCCGUGCCAGCAGCCGCGGUAAUACGGAGGGUGCAAGCGUUACUCGGAAUCACUGGGCGUAAAGAGCGCAUAGGCGGGAUAGCAAGUAAGAUGUGAAAUCCUAUGGCUUAACCAUAGAACUGCAUUUGAAACUGUUAUU
rnacentral:rRNA from 1 species